AUUGAACGCUGGUCGGCAUGCCUUACUACAUGCAAGUCGAACGGUAACAGGUCUUCGGAUGCUGACGAGUGGCGAACGGGUGAGUAAUACAUCGGAACGUGCCCGAUCGUGGGGGAUAACGGAGCGAAAGCUUUGCUAAUACCGCAUACGAUCUACGGAUGAAAGCAGGGGACCGCAAGGCCUUGCGCGGACGGAGCGGCCGAUGGCAGAUUAGGUAGUUGGUGGGAUAAAAGCUUACCAAGCCGACGAUCUGUAGCUGGUCUGAGAGGACGACCAGCCACACUGGGACUGAGACACGGCCCAGACUCCUACGGGAGGCAGCAGUGGGGAAUUUUGGACAAUGGGCGCAAGCCUGAUCCAGCCAUGCCGCGUGCAGGAUGAAGGCCUUCGGGUUGUAAACUGCUUUUGUACGGAACGAAAAGACUCUUUCUAAUAAAGAGGGUCCAUGACGGUACCGUAAGAAUAAGCACCGGCUAACUACGUG
rnacentral:rRNA from 1 species